GAUGAACGCUAGCGGCAGGCUUAACACAUGCAAGUCGAGGGGUAGAGGUUGCUUGCAACCUUGAGACCGGCGCACGGGUGCGUAACGCGUAUGCAACCUACCUUUUACAGAGGGAUAGCCCAGAGAAAUUUGGAUUAAUACCUCAUAGUAUAUAACCUUCGCAUGUUGGUUAUAUUAAAGUUUCAACGGUAAAAGAUGGGCAUGCGUCCUAUUAGCUAGAUGGUAAGGUAACGGCUUACCAUGGCAACGAUAGGUAGGGGUCCUGAGAGGGAGAUCCCCCACACUGGUACUGAGACACGGACCAGACUCCUACGGGAGGCAGCAGUGAGGAAUAUUGGACAAUGGGCGCAAGCCUGAUCCCGCCAUGCCGCGUGCAGGAAGAAGCAUCUAUGGUGUGUAAACUGCUUUUGUACAGGAAGAAACACCCCGACGUGUCGGGACUUGACGGUACUGUAAGAAUAAGGAUCGGCUAGCUCCGUGCCAGCCGCCGCUGUAACAC
rnacentral:rRNA from 1 species